CCUACGGGCGGCAGCAGUGAGGAAUAUUGGUCAAUGGGCGCAAGCCUGAACCAGCCAAGUCGCGUGAGGGAUGACGGUCCUAUGGAUUGUAAACCUCUUUUGUCGGGGAGCAAGGCCCGCCACGUGUGGCGGGAAGGAGAGUACCCGCAGAAAAAGCAUCGGCUAACUCCGUGCCAGCAGCCGCGGUAAUACGGGGGAUGCGAGCGUUAUCCGGAUUUAUUGGGUUUAAAGGGUGCGGAGGCGGAAGGUUAAGUCAGCGGUCAACUGUCGGUGCUCAACACCGGCCUGCCGUUGAAACUGGUCAUCGUGAGUGAGCGAGAAGUAUGCGGAAGUCGUGGUGUAGCGGUGAAAUGCAUAGGUAGCACGCAGAAC
rnacentral:rRNA from 1 species